CCUGCCCACUGUUAGAGCUUGGAUUGAGGCCACUGGCUGGCCAAUGAACUCACAAGUGUAGGUAGUGUACCACAUGAGGGGCAAGUCUUUCGCUACCACCACAAGGGUCCGUGGCCCAGUGAAUGGAGUUUAAAAAAAAUUUUUUUUUUUUCA